GAUCACACAGAUACAGCCACAAAGUGUUUACUUUUAUUUGUUUGCGCUCACAAUGAUAACAGGAUGUAAAUGAAACUACAGGAUGCGUUUUCUCAUCUCAGUUUCCUGACUUGUGUAUAGCCGCUCCUCACAACAAAAAUAAACUCAGCAGCACAGACUUGUCCCACAGUUUUUUUCUUUCGUUUUGUUAAACUUUAGAUUAUUUAAGUCAAACAUAUUUAGUAUAUUUAUUAGGCUUACUUUAAUGGCUUGUCUGCUGUCCCAGAGACUUGUUAUGCCUAGCAACCAGAUAGUCUAUUGCAAUUUUAAGGCCACAAACAAAGUAACAGCGCCUGUAACGUUUUAGACCAUAUAGAGGUCUCUAUUUUUAAAUCAAGCACAAAAGGGAACCAGUUUUAAGCAAUUUGAAAAAAAAAGGGGCCUACUCUAUAUUUCAGAUUGUUUCUUUUUUAAACGGCACAAAUUGAGAGAAUAACCUUAACCUAGCAUCAGUACAUUAUAGCAACAUUAUCCUACAUAAUUAUAUUAUCAAUUACUUCAUAAUACCUCAAUUUAUGGUAUCCACUGGGAUUCAUUUUGUGUUCUUAAUUUGUUAAUUUUUUUUUUUUUUUGGACUCUAAACGGAUACCACCCGUUGACUUGCAUUUUCUACUGAAGAAAGAAAGAAAGAAAGACAACUACAUCUUUGAUGGCCUGAGGGUGCCUCACAUCCUACAAAUGGAGUAAUGGCAUGCCAGCAAAGUCCUCUUUGCAUGGAAGUAACACAAACUUCCGUAGCACAUUUGUGGCUUGGGUAAAAAGGAGUUCAUCCUUCAAUCCAGAGAGCAAGAAAAUGUCUAGCUGUGAUGAUGGUAGGGGAUAGACAAAAAGAUCUGUCUUGUUCCUAAAUCUUUUGUACACGAUUAAGGUUUCUCCGUGUUCCUCGACCACCAGGUUUUACACAACAACAACAUCUGUGUUUUUCAGCUGGACACAGUUAUUCCCAGUGCAAAUCUGCACAGAGAAGUGAGCGAACUGCAUUUUUGCAUACUGCUCUUUCACAUUUAGACCAUUUGGGACUGGGCCGUUGUCAUGUGGUCUUUGUAGUGUCUUCUCUGCAUCUGACUGCAUUGUUCACAUGGUCUCUUUUUCUGACAGUCUUCGUAUGACUUGUGCUAAAGGUUUGUUUGGUUUUCUCAUCAUUCGUUUAAUUUGGCCAAGGAAAUUCUCAAAGGGAAAACAAGACAUGUUGUCAAGUACCCCAAAUGCUUGUACAUCAUGAAUAAAAAGAGUCAAGCAAUGCAUGUUGUAAGUCAUGGUUUCUUUUCCAUACAGUCUGCUGCAGUGGUCCACAAACAAAACCAGGAGGUUUCCAGCAUAGUCUGCACACAAGGAUUGACUUAGAAAGAUGGUCAUAGCAACUGAAAGCAGCAUGAAGUUUUCAUACAUCGCCUUUGGAAUAUUUCCUUUCAAACAGACUGGUGCAGUGUACAAGAGGAAUGUACGAAAUUCAGUAGCCUUCCAGCGGUCUGACUCGAUUACAGAUCUCGGUUUUUCUGAUCAUUUCUGAUGGCGCAUGAGGUCGUAGCUCUGUCAGUUGUGAAGAGACAUUUCUGACAAACGCUGGACCUAAACGAGUCUUCAGUGGCCCUUCCUGCCAUAGAGAGAUGAGUUUACGUGUAACAUACAAGGUGCAUGUAGUCAAGAGGAAAUGAUGUCACCAAACCAAUGGACAGUGAUUCUAAAGGCGUUUUCCCACUGUAGUGCGAGUCCUCAGAAAGAGAAUCAAAAUGGUCAUGGUUGGAUCUUAGAUAGACUGCUGUUUCUGGCAAGAUCAUACGGUUAUUGUGGUAAACUCCCUUUUGACAGCAUUUGUCACAUCCAUAGUACCCAUUGUGACCCUUAGAAUUUCUGAUGAAGGCCCUUGCAGGUACAUCACAAACAAUGGCAGAGAUCUGGACCCUAAUAUUUCUGUCUUCAAAAAAGAAACCUUCUUUUUCAAGAUGCUGCAUUUCCUCAACAAAGUCUUGUAGGAAAUCAAGACUGGCUGGUUUUUUCUCCCCAAAAAACAUCCCAAUGAGAAUGGCAACUUGUUUGUCUGGACCCCAUCAUUGUAGUUUUCUACAAGGCCUAAAAUAGUCCAGAAUUGAGAGUUUGAGCUCUUGUAUAGAGGAAGGCCAUCUAUAUUGACUUGCAGGGACACUGACUGACACAUUGGAUGAACUGAUGUUGUGAGGUGGGACAACAGACCGUGUUCAAUGCCAGCAUGAAAAUAAGUCCCCCCCAGAGACUUCUUUUAUUUCCACCACUGAUUUUGUUUUCAGCAAAGUCCGUGAAUCUUUAGGAAGGCCUAAUUCAGGUAAUUUGUUGCACAAAAUCUUGAGUAGUUCAGUCAGUGAUGAAUGUGGAAUUUGUUUCCUGACAGCCCAAUCAGAAAGUAAUGCUCUGAUAUUAUCCUCCUCAUCUGUGCUUUCAUCAUUGCUGUCCUCUGUGUUCCCAGCAAAGCUCUCACUAGCUCCUCCCUCACUGCUUAGUGUGCAAUCAUAUACUGACUCCACUCUAUUGUUGGACUCUGGUGUUGUAAGAGCCACUUCCUCAAAAUUGCUUAUGUUGUGGCAGUCAAGUCUCUCCUCCGUUAUUUCAUCAUCUGUUUCUACAGAUGCUGACUGGAGUUUUUGCAAAUCUUGCUCAACUCCUCUUUGAAUUUUUCUGCGUUUACUCCAGUAACUGGACAUGUUACCUGGAGAUAAACACUUCUGAAUAUAUCUGUAAAGGAAAUCAAAUGAUAGCAUCAACACUGGGAUGUUGAUGAUCAUGUUAUCACUAAUAAUUGCUUUAAAAAAAUUAAAUUGUAAAUAUUUGCAAAGGUGUCCACUGAUGUGGUCACAGGCACAGCCAUUUAAAAUGUAUACACCCAUAGUAGUGGCAAAAUAAAUUACUGUUAAAUUUG